rnacentral:rRNA from 1 species
UAAAAAAAGGUAAGCUACUAAGAGCGAAUGGUGGAUGCCUUGACUGGUAAAGGCGAUGAAGGACGUACUAGACUGCGAUAAGCUACGGGGAGCUGUCAAGAAGCUUUGAUCCGUAGAUUUCCGAAUGGGGCAACCCAAUGUAUAGAGAUAUACAUUACCUAUAUAGGAGCGAACGAGGGGAAUUGAAACAUCUUAGUACCCUCAGGAAAAGAAAUCAAUAGAGAUUGCGUCAGUAGCGGCGAGCGAAAGCGCAAGAGGGCAAACCCAGUGCUUGCACUGGGGGUUGUAGGACUGCAAUGUGCAAGAGGUAAGUUUAGCAGAACAUUCUGGAAAGUAUAACCAUAGAGGGUGAUAGUCCCGUAUGCGAAAAACAAACCUUAGCUAGCAGUAUCCUGAGUAGGGCGGGACACGAGGAAUCCUGUCUGAAUCCGGGUCGACCACGAUCCAACCCUAAAUACUAAUACCAGAUCGAUAGUGCACAAGUACCGUGAGGGAAAGGUGAAAAGAACUGAGGUGAUCAGAGUGAAAUAGACCUGAAACCAUUUGCUUACAAUCAUUCAGAGCCCUAUGUAGCAAUACAGGGUGAUGGACUGCCUUUUGCAUAAUGAGCCUGCGAGUUGUGGUGUCUGGCAAGGUUAAGCAAACGCGAAGCCGUAGCGAAAGCGAGUCUGAAUAGGGCGCUUAGUCAGAUGCUGCAGACCCGAAACGAAGUGAUCUAUCCAUGAGCAAGUUGAAGCUAGUGUAAGAACUAGUGGAGGACUGAACCCAUAGGCGUUGAAAAGCCCCGGGAUGACUUGUGGAUAGGGGUGAAAGGCCAAUCAAACUUCGUGAUAGCUGGUUCUCUCCGAAAUAUAUUUAGGUAUAGCGUUGUGUCGUAAUAUAAGGGGGUAGAGCACUGAAUGGGCUAGGGCAUACACCAAUGUACCAAACCCUAUCAAACUCCGAAUACCUUAUAUGUAAUCACAGCAGUCAGGCGGCGAGUGAUAAAAUCCGUCGUCAAGAGGGAAACAACCCAGACUACCAGCUAAGGUCCCUAAGUCUUACUUAAGUGGAAAACGAUGUGAAGUUACUUAAACAACCAGGAGGUUGGCUUAGAAGCAGCCAUCCUUUAAAGAAAGCGUAAUAGCUCACUGGUCUAGUGAUUUUGCGCGGAAAAUAUAACGGGGCUAAAGUAAGUACCGAAGCUGUAGACUUAGUUUACUAAGUGGUAGGAGAGCGUUCUAUUUGCGUCGAAGGUAUACCGGUAAGGAGUGCUGGAGCGAAUAGAAGUGAGCAUGCAGGCAUGAGUAGCGAUAAUUAAUGUGAGAAUCAUUAACGCCGUAAACCCAAGGUUUCCUACGCGAUGCUCGUCAUCGUAGGGUUAGUCGGGUCCUAAGUCGAGUCCGAAAGGGGUAGACGAUGGCAAAUUGGUUAAUAUUCCAAUACCAACAUUAGUGUGCGAUGGAAGGACGCUUAGGGCUAAGGGGGCUAGCGGAUGGAAGUGCUAGUCUAAGGUCGUAGGAGGUUAUACAGGCAAAUCCGUAUAACAAUACUCCGAGAACUGAAAGGCUUUUUGAAGUCUUCGGAUGGAUAGAAGAACCCCUGAUGCCGUCGAGCCAAGAAAAGUUUCUAAGUUUAGCUAAUGUUGCCCGUACCGUAAACCGACACAGGUGGGUGGGAUGAGUAUUCUAAGGCGCGUGGAAGAACUCUCUUUAAGGAACUCUGCAAAAUAGCACCGUAUCUUCGGUAUAAGGUGUGGUUAGCUUUGUAUUAGGAUUUACUCCGAAAGCAAGGAAACUUACAACAAAGAGUCCCUCCCGACUGUUUACCAAAAACACAGCACUCUGCUAACUCGUAAGAGGAUGUAUAGGGUGUGACGCCUGCCCGGUGCUCGAAGGUUAAUUGAUGGGGUUAGCAUUAGCGAAGCUCUUGAUCGAAGCCCGAGUAAACGGCGGCCGUAACUAUAACGGUCCUAAGGUAGCGAAAUUCCUUGUCGGUUAAAUACCGACCUGCAUGAAUGGCGUAACGAGAUGGGAGCUGUCUCAAAGAGGGAUCCAGUGAAAUUGUAGUGGAGGUGAAAAUUCCUCCUACCCGCGGCAAGACGGAAAGACCCCGUGGACCUUUACUACAGCUUGACACUGCUACUUGGAUAAGAAUGUGCAGGAUAGGUGGGAGGCUUUGAGUAUAUGACGCCAGUUGUAUAUGAGCCAUUGUUGAGAUACCACUCUUUCUUAUUUGGGUAGCUAACCAGCUUGAGUUAUCCUCAAGUGGGACAAUGUCUGGUGGGUAGUUUGACUGGGGCGGUCGCCUCCCAAAUAAUAACGGAGGCUUACAAAGGUUGGCUCAGAACGGUUGGAAAUCGUUCGUAGAGUAUAAAGGUAUAAGCCAGCUUAACUGCAAGACAUACAAGUCAAGCAGAGACGAAAGUCGGUCUUAGUGAUCCGGUGGUUCUGUGUGGAAGGGCCAUCGCUCAAAGGAUAAAAGGUACCCCGGGGAUAACAGGCUGAUCUCCCCCAAGAGCUCACAUCGACGGGGAGGUUUGGCACCUCGAUGUCGGCUCAUCGCAUCCUGGGGCUGGAGCAGGUCCCAAGGGUAUGGCUGUUCGCCAUUUAAAGCGGUACGCGAGCUGGGUUCAGAACGUCGUGAGACAGUUCGGUCCCUAUCUGCCGUGGGCGUAAGAAGAUUGAAGAGAUUUGACCCUAGUACGAGAGGACCGGGUUGAACAAACCACUGGUGUAGCUGUUGUUCUGCCAAGAGCAUCGCAGCGUAGCUAAGUUUGGAAAGGAUAAACGCUGAAAGCAUCUAAGCGUGAAGCCAACUCUAAGAUGAAUCUUCUCUAAGCUCUCUAGAAGACUACUAGUUUGAUAGGCUGGGUGUGUAAUGGAUGAAAGUCCUUUAGCUGACCAGUACUAAUAGAGCGUUUGGCUUAUCUUUAAUAAAGCAU